rnacentral:tRNA from 1 species
GGCGCUAUAGCCAAGUGGUUACGGCGACAGAUUCGAAUUACGCGAUAUCUGUUCCUCUUUGAGGGCGCAGGUUCAAAUCCUGCUGGCGUCG